rnacentral:antisense_RNA from 1 species
GGCUUUGGACUGCGGAGCACGCCGGGAGUCGUAGUCCCCAGGCCUGCUCGGGCCCACCUCGUCGGAGACGAGCAGGAACCGCCUCCUCUCCUUUGCAUAUCGGCGAAGUGUAGUUCUCAAGAGCAUUGUGGGGCCGGUUGCUGCCCGAAUCUCUCUAGGGAAUGGGACCGAGUUGGGGACCCAGACUCCCUGGCCUUCAUGGCCACAGUCCUGUCGCCGCCCCACCAAAAGCCAAUCUCUAAGAAUCUGGAACGAUGAAGGUGAUGUUUGUGCCUGUGGCCAAGACCGGGAGAACCCUGGACCCCUACACCUUCCCCACCCCUGGAAUGUCACUAUACAUAUCUGACUUCUUCUGAUGUUGCCUUUGACCCUAAAGUCAAUAUGAUAAAGUAACAAGAAGCUGGGACAGAGGAACAAACACAGCCCACUCAAGCAGUGGUGGCAACAUUCUGUUAGAAAGGAAGGGAGUCAAAGAAAAAAACACCCCUCCGCCCAUCUCCUUAUCACCUCCCUAAAGACAGAGGAGAACAUGGACACCCUCCAUCCUGACAGAAUGCCAUGUGGUCAGUUUGUG